UGUAGCUACAUUAGAAAUACCAUAUGUCAGAAAGAUAUAACAUAGUUGUAACGAGAAUGCCUCCUUCAUUUGCAGUCCACACAAGUUUUGACUCAUCUCUAAUAACCUGAUGGCAUGGUAGCAUGGGUAAAGAGGAAGACCAGUAUCUUGAUUCAAUGGAAAUUAAUGGCUCAAAAGAUCAAUUCAAACACGGAUUGAUGUGCGGAAGGGAUGUUAAUGCCAACGGGAAUGAAGAGUAUGUACUAUAUAGCUUCUUAGGAAAAUCCAAUACGUUUUUAAAACAUUACUGACAGCUUUUUACUGACUUGAUUUUUAGAAACCAAUAACAUAUAAGAUGCACACAACGCCCAAUUUUUGAGUGUUGUGUGUAAAAAGAAAGAUAAAGAGGAAAAGAAAAUGAGCCGCAUCACAUACCACAAGUAUGCUUGAUGGAUAUAGUUUAUAAAAGCAAAAAAUAAAACUGGGAAAAAUGCAAA